rnacentral:rRNA from 1 species
UGAGGAUAAUACCGGAUAGGGAAAUCCUACUGGAAGGUGGGUUUCCUCAAAAGCAAUGCCUAAGGAUGAGUUGGCGGCGGAUUAGGUAGUUGGCGAGGUAAUGGCUCACCAAGCCGAAGAUCCGUAGGGGCCUUGAAAGAGGUAGCCCCGAGAAGGGCACUGAGAUACUGGCCCUAGCUCCACGGAGUGCAGCAGGCGCGAAACCUUUACAAUGCACGCAAGUGUGAUAAGGGAACCCCGAGCGCUGAUGCUUAGCAUCAGCUUUUGCUAAGAGCAAAUACCUUAGCGAAUAAGUGGUGGGCAAUACCUGUGCCAGCCGCCGCGGUAACCCAGGAGCCACAAGUGGCAACCACCUUUAUUGGGCCUAAAGCGUCCGUAGCCGGUUUUGUAAAUUUUCUGUGAAAUCGUUGCGCUUAACGUAACGGCGUGCAGAAAACACUGCAAGACUAGGGACCGGGAGGAGUCAGGGGUAUUUUGGGGGGAGCGGUAAAAUGCUAUAAUCCCCGAAGGACCACCUGUGGCGAAGGCGCCUGACUAGAACGGAUCCGACGGUGAGGGACGAAAGCUAGGGGAGCAAUCCGGAUUAGAUACCCGAGUAGUCCUAGCUGUAAACGCUGUGAG